GACGAACCACACGAACGUUAUUCGGAAUUACUGGGCGUAAAGUGUGCGCAGGCGGCCGCGCAAGUCGAGUGUGAAAGCCCCGGGCUUAACUUGGGAAUUGCGCUCGAAACUACGUGGCUGGAGUGUGGCAGAGGAAGGUGGAAUUCCACGUGUAGCGGUGAAAUGCGUAGAGAUGUGGAGGAACACCAAUGGCGAAGGCAGCCUUCUGGGCCAACACUGACGCUCAUGCACGAAAGCGUGGGGAGCAAACAGG
rnacentral:rRNA from 1 species